rnacentral:rRNA from 1 species
AACGAACGCUGGCGGCAUGCCUAACACAUGCAAGUCGAACGAGACCUUCGGGUCUAGUGGCGCACGGGUGCGUAACGCGGGGGAACCUGCCCUUAGGUUCGGGAUAACUCCCCGAAAGGGGUGCUAAUACCGGAUAAUGUCUUCGGACCAAAGAUUUAUCGCCUUUGGAUGGGCCCGCGUUGGAUUCGCUAGUUGGUAGGGUAAAAGCCUACCAAGGCGACGAUGCAGAGCUGGUCUGAGAGGAGGAUCAGCCACACUGGGACUGAGACACGGCCCAGACUCCUACGGGAGGCAGCAGUGGGGAAUAUUGGACAAUGGGCGAAAGCCUGAUACAGCAAUGCCGCGGGAGUGAUGAAGGCGUUAGGGUUGUAAAGCUCUUUUAGCCGGGAUGAUAAUGACAGUACCGGGAGAAGAAGCUCCGGCUAACUCCGUG